rnacentral:rRNA from 1 species
UUGAUCCUGGCUCAGAAUCAACGCUGGCGGCGCGCUUAACACAUGCAAGUCGCACGAGAAAGGGAGCAAUCCUGAGUAAAGUGGCGUACGGGUGAGUAAUACGUGGAUUAUCUACCUUUUAGUGGGGAAUACCUCCGGGAAACUGGAGAUAAUACCGCAUAAGCUCGAAAGAGGAAAGCCGAAAGGCGCUGAAAGAGGAUUCCGCGGCUGAUUAUGCUAGUUGGCGGGGUAAUGGCCCACCAAGGCGAAUAUCGGUAGCCGGCCUGAGAGGGCUCACGGCCACACUGGCACUGAAACACUGGCCAGACUCCUACGGGAGGCAGCAGUGGGGAAUCUUGCACAAUGGGGGUAACCCUGAUGCAGCGACGCCGCGUGAGCGAUGAAGCCCUUCGGGGUGUAUAGCUCUUUCGACGGGAAAGAUUAUGACGGUACCCGAAGAAGAAGCUGCGUCUAACUACGUGCCAGCAGCCGCGGUAAUU